UACGGGGGGGGCAAGCGUUGUUCGGAAUUACUGGGCGUAAAGGGCUCGUAGGCGGCCAACUAAGUCAGACGUGAAAUCCCUCGGCUUAACCGGGGAACUGCGUCUGAUACUGGUUGGCUUGAAUCCGGGAGAGGGAUGUGGAAUUCCAGGUGUAGCGGUGAAAUGCGUAGAGAUUUGGAGGAACACCAGUGGCGAAGGCGACUUUCUGGUCUGUAACUGACACUGAGGCGCGAAAGCGUGGGGAGCAAACAGG
rnacentral:rRNA from 1 species